CUGAGGAGUCGGCGCGCCGGAAAUCCUGAUUAGGACGCCUGGGAAGAGUCGCGACUCGGAGAUCUUGAGUUGUAACUGAGCUUGUCAUCUGCAGGGGAGAGGAACUGAGAAUGGGGCUGGGAAUGAAGAGUCUCCUGCAAAGCCAGUCUGUAGAGAAGACACUUAUCUAAAUACUUGCUCAAAAAAAUGUUUUCCAGUCUGUGGAACUAAUGGACAUACUUACUGCAAUAGAUGUAUUUUCUGCAUGGCAUUCAGAAUUGGUAAGAUGUUCCUGCUCUCUUCAUGGAUCAAAGCCACUAUUGUCCUUGCCUUGGUAUCUCCUCUUCAAUCUGG